rnacentral:rRNA from 1 species
GACGAACGCUGGCGGCGUGCUUAACACAUGCAAGUCGAACGAAGUGGCGAACGGGUGAGUAACGCGUAAUCAACCUGCCCUUCAGAGGGGGACAACAGUUGGAAACGACUGCUAAUACCGCAUACUGAAGGAGGGGAUUGCGUCUGAUUAGCUAGUUGGAGGGGUAACGUCCGACCAAGGCGAUGAUCAGUAGCCGGGCUGAGAGGAUGAACGGCCGCAUUGGGACUGAGACACGGCCCAGACUCCUACGGGAGGCAGCAGUGGGGAAUCUUCCGCAAUGGGCGGAAGUCUGGAGGAGCAACGCCUCGGGAGUGAUGACGGCCUUCGGGUUGUAAAGCUCUGUUAAUCGGGGCGCGGUACCGGAAUAAGAAGCCACGGCUAACUACGUGCCAGCCGCCGCGGUAAUUC